rnacentral:rRNA from 1 species
GACGAACGCUGGCGGCGCGCUUAACACAUGCAAGUCGAGCGAGAACCGGGGCUUCGGCCCCGGGGACAGCGGCGAACGGGUGAGUAACACGUGGGUAAUCUGCCCUCGGCACCGGGAUAGCCCGGGGAAACCCGGAUUAAUACCGGAUUGCCCCUCCGGCCUUCGGGCCGGCGGGAAAAGGUAGCUUCGGCCUCUGGCCGAGGAUGAGCCCGCGGCGGAUUAGCUUGUUGGUGAGGUAAUGGCUCACCAAGGCGACGAUCCGUAGCUGGUCUGAGAGGACGAUCAGCCACACUGGGACUGAGACACGGCCCAGACUCCUACGGGAGGCAGCAGUGGGGAAUCUUGCGCAAUGGGCGAAAGCCUGACGCAGCGACGCCGCGUGCGGGAAGAAGGCCUUC